rnacentral:lncRNA from 1 species
GGAUUGGAAGCGAUGGGUAUUGGAUUCGAAGAGAUGGAGUAAUGGGUAUUGGAAUCGAAGCGAGACGAUGGGUACUGGAUCACUGAUUAGGUGGUAUAAAAUUUUGUUUCAGUGUUCUAAUCCAAAGAGUUCGAUCAUCAAUUCUGGGUUAAUGGAUAGUGAAAAUUGUACUGGAUUGCUCUAUUGAAGAACAAAUGAGUGUGGAUUGCUCUAUUGAAGAACAAAUGAAUGUGAUCAGAAACACACCAAAAUAGUGAAUGUGAUGUUCAACUAUCUGGUGUUUUGACUCAAGAAGGUGAGAUUGGAACUUGGGACCUCAGACGUGGGGUGAAUGCUGAGUAAAGAGGAUGAGAUUUUAGAUGACGACCCUGCUGAAGCUUAUUUGCUUUUGGAUACUGCUGAAGCUUAUUUGUCUAUAGAAGCUUCAGUCAACAGCUGAUAUUGUAUUGAACUAGCAACCGUUAACUUUUCUAAAGGGUCCUUUUUAUAGUUCAAGUUAUUUUGGAGAAGACCGUGUAUGAAUGAAUGUGCUUCAGUUUUGCUAUCUGAUUUUGGUGCAAAGGGUGUUCUGUGAAAUGGAAAGUCUGUAAAUUUAAUAGAAUUUGAUUGGAAUUUUACCCUUUUUCAAGAUGAUCGAUUUACUCUUCAACUGGGUCAAUUUGUGCCUUCGGAUGUACACCCUUUAACUAGCUAGUUUUUGUGCUUGUGAUUUACAUUGUAACUGGGAGAAUUAAUGCUUACUCAUUUCCUUU